CAACGUAUUUUUUUAAUUUAUUUUUAUAUAUAAACACUUAAAAAUAUAAAUGAAUUUAUUUUAAUCUUAAAAUUCUCUAUAAUUUAUUUAAAAAUUCAAAAUUAAACCAAAAAAAAAAAAAACCUUUUUCAACGAGAGCAGAGUUCCACCUCUAUGAAAAAUGUAGACUUGGUCGUGUAUUUUGCUUUGAUAGUCGUACAUAUAUUCGAUCUAAGAUGCUAACAGGGUCUUUUUUUGUAGGUACCGUGUGAAUUGAAUUCAAAUUACAUAGUUAAAUUAUUUUUUAUGAAUUUAAAUUUCAAAUUAAAUUCAAUUUCUAAAAAAAUACAUAAAAGCAAAUCGCGUGGAAACCUUCUAGUUUGCUAUGAUAUUCCAAAAAUAUCUUUAUGAACACAAACCCUAAUUUUUACAAAACCUCCCCAUUGUUUCUUUCCUUCUCUUCUUCUAAACCCCUGUCUCUUUGUGGAUGGAGGAUCCAGGUUCUACCACCAAAAGAUGGUUUCUACGAGAACUAUCCUUCUAACUAUCAAGGGUCGCAUCUCUUGGGCGUUGAAUUUGGUGAUUUCAGGCCUGAUGAAGAUCAGUUACCGGUCCUCGCAUUAGAAUUUAUUCCAGUGAUUCGUGAAUGAGAAGUUUCACCCACAUCUUGCAGCAAAUCGCAAAUCGAGUAGGGCAACGGGAGCUCUCUGUAACGAUUCGUCAGUUUCUAUAAACUUGUAUGCUUCUUAAUUUACAUCAAUAUACAUAAUGUUAAUUCCUUUCGUUAGCUAGAAGCUGGAAUUCACCUCGCUGAUUCAGGGCAUGACGAAGGUGCGAAUAUCUGUUAAUGUUAAUGCUGAUAUGGAUUCUCCUUCUAGUUA